UGGCACAGAGACCUUGGUCACUAAGACCCUUUGAGAUCUUCAUCGUCUGCUGGCUGAAUGCUGCUGAUGGUGAGGUCAGGGAUGGAGGAGCCACAGAUGCUGAACCUGGGUCUCUGAAUAACUGUAUGGAGCUGACCCAUGGCCUGGAGCAAUGUUUCUAGCAUUGAGCUGUGACCUGGUCACUUUGUUACCGCCGUCAGCUUGCAAAACAGAUGGUGAUCUUCUCAUCCUUCAUUUGCACUAUUGUAGUCACCCUCUUCUGACGUAUCUCCACCUGCUUCUUCCCCUUCUAGUAGCCGUGACCCCGGAAUGAUCCUCUGAAUCACACUUAAGGGCAACUUCCUACUUUGAAGCCAUCAGGAAUUCAACACCCGUGGCCACUGUUUCACGGAGGAGCUCUUCUUCCCUCCCAAUCAGCCCAGGCUUCCAUGGGAACAAGCCCUGCAGGAGCAAGCAUUUAUCCUGUGCAUCAUAAACGCUCAUGUUCCAUGGGCUCAGAGCCAAGGUCAGAGAGACAGAUCCAUAUGGGAUGGGUACCGGGAACUGUGACUCGCUGUGGACCGUUAUGGAAACAAUCCAAUGCAUUGGUGAUAAAAGAGGGAAAAAGUGCAGGAGGACAGUCAUUAAGGGGCUAAAUUGGUUGUUGCGGUUACUGCCGAUGAUGACAGUCCUCCCAGUGACCCAGCUUUGCCUCUGGCUGCUGAGAAGGGGACCGGGCUGCUGGGCUCUGCUUGAGGACUUUGGGAAAGCAGUGAGGCUGCUACCACCUUGAACAGUCUAAGUAAUUUACAUCACCUGAAAACCAGCAUCACGGAAAGUGGCAAAAAAGAAGCAAGAAGGUGUCCAGUUUCCCCAUUCAUGAAGUCAGCAACUGGAUAUUGAAUAGAGUUCUCUAUGCUACCCAGUAGGCCCUUGUUGUUUAUCCAUCACAUAUAUGAGUUUACAUCUGCUAAUCCCAAACUCCUGGUUGAUUUGCAUCCCUGAAGACCAAGCAAGGAGAUCAAACCAGUCAAUCCUAAAGGAAAUCAACCCUGAAUACUCACAGAAGGACUGAAGCUGAAGCUCCAGUACUUUGGCCACCUGAUGCAAAGAGGCA